rnacentral:tRNA from 1 species
AUUUUAAUAGCUUAAAAUUAGAGCAUUAUAUUGAAGAUAUAAGGGUAAGUUCAACUUUUAAAAUA